rnacentral:rRNA from 1 species
CUUCGGUUGAUCCCGCCGGACCCGACUGCUAUCAGAGUGAGAUUAAGCCAUGCGAGUUAACGUAGCAAUACGUGGCGCACGGCUCAGUAACACGUAGUCAACCUAACCUAUGGACGUGGAUAACCUCGGGAAACUGAGAAUAAACCGCGAUAGAUCAUUAUGCCUGGAAUGGCUUAUGGUUCAAACAAUUUAUUGCCGUAGGAUGGGACUGCGGCCUAUCAGCUUGUUGGUGAGGUAAUGGCCCACCAAGGCUAUAACAGGUACGGGCUCUGAGAGGAGAAGCCCGGAGAUGGGUACUGAGACACGGACCCAGGCCCUAUGGGGCGCAGCAGGCGAGAAACCUUAGCAAUGUGCGAAAGCACGACUAGGUUAAUCCGAGUGAUUUCUGUUGAAGAAAUCUUUUGUCAGUCGUAAAACCACAGACGAAUAAGGGGUGGGCAAGUCUGGUGUCAGCCGCCGCGGUAAUACCAGCACCUCGAGUGGUCAGGAGGUUUAUUGGGCCUAAAGCAUCCGUAGCCGGCUACGCAAGUCUCCGGUUAAAUCCAGCUGCUCAACAGAUGGGCUGCCGGAGAUACUACAUAGCUAGGGAGCGGGAGAGGUAGACGGUAUUCUGUGGGUAGGGGUAAAAUCCACUGAUCCAUAGAGGACCACCAGUGGCGAAGGCGGUCUACCAGAACGCGUUCGACGGUGAGGGAUGAAAGCUGGGGGAGCAAACCGGAUUAGAUACCCGGGUAGUCCCAGCUGUAAACGAUGCAAACUCGGUGAUGCAUUGGCUUAUGGCCAAUGCAGUGCCGCAGGGAAGCCGUUAAGUUUGCCGCCUGGGAAGUACGGACGCAAGUCUGAAACUUAACGCAUCAAGGGGGGGAGCA